rnacentral:rRNA from 1 species
GAUGAACGCUGGCGGCGUGCCUAAUACAUGCAAGUCGAGCGAACGGACGAGAAUCUUGCUUCUCUGAUGUUAGCGGCGGACGGGUGAGUAACACGUGGAUAACCUACCUAUAAGACUGGGAUAACUUCGGGAAACCUGAGCUAAUACCGGAUCAUAUUUUGAACCGCAUGGUUCAAAAGUGAAAGCCGGUCUUGCUGUCACUUAGUGAUGGAUCCGCGUUGCAUUAGCUAGUUGGUACGGUAACGGCUUACCAAGGCAACGAUGCAUAGCUGACCUGAGAGGGUGAUCAGCCACACUGGAACUGAGACACGGUCCAGACUCCUACGGGAGGCAGCAGUAGGGAAUGUUGCGCAAUGGGCGAAAGCCUGACGGAGCAACGCCGCGUGAGUGAUGAAGGUCUUCGGAUCGUAAAACUCUGUUAUUAGGGAAGAACAUAUGUAUAAGAAACUGUGCACAUCUUGACGGUACCUAAUCAGAAAGCCACGGCUAACUACGUG